GCCUCUACAAUGAACAACGCAAUAUAUAAUAUUUUUGAAAUAAAACUUAUGACUACAGAAUGACGAGAUGAAGCAGAAUGCAAUCAGAACUAAAUGGAACAAAAUUUUACCUAUUUCAGAGCAGCAAAACAGAACUUUGAGCUCCUUCAAACUUCACCACCACUGGAAAGUUCAAUGCCGCUGUGUAAAUUUAGACUAGCCAACUGCUUUUCCCAAACUUUUUACUGAAGAAAAUUCUCUUCUAUUCUCGCGACCAGUAUUUCCCCCUCUCCUCUCUUAAAAAACCCAUUCUGCUCAACCAAGAGCCUUUUAUAGAAGGAAUCCAGGAAUGGAUUCUUGACCCUUAACUGAUAUGGAAUUAGGGCCUUUAAGGGGUAAUUUUGGAAUUUACAGUGAGGGGAAAUUCAUAUUUUUUGCUCAGAAUGAGAUUUUCUAGCUCAUAACUUGAACUCAUUUGGAUUGUUCUUGAGGAAAUUCCAAAUGGGUUGGCUAAUGGAAAUUGGGGAAAAGGAAUAACGUCCCAAACAAAUAGCAUUUGCCCAAAUAUGUAUGAAUUCGUAGUAUUUCACCUAAAAUUCCAGAAAUCAAACUGUUGAGGAGACAUCUAGGCAUAUUCUAGAAGAUCUUCAGACCCUCCUCGUCAUACCAUUAUGUGAGACGCGUUUUAGAAGGUUUGGGUCACAGUCUUGAGUUUAGGCAUCGGGAUGGGUUGAAUAUCUUUGUUGUGGGUAUGAGAGACGAGUUAUCGGGUUUGUCGGGAUUGAUUUGGGUAUGGGUCGGGAUGCUAAAGGUUUGCCAUUUCUUGU
rnacentral:lncRNA from 1 species